GUGUGCUGUGACUUUAAGAGUGCUGUAACCUAAGUAUAAUACAAUCAUAAGAGUGAUGUGUAACCAUAAGAUAUGAAAGUAAUGAAAGUAGAACCUUAAGUGGUAGGGAACUGAUAAGGGUGUAGCCUGAACUGGGCGGGGCGUACCCCGACUUGGGCAGAGUGUGCCCCAAGCUGGACAGUGUGAUAAGUCUGAACCAAUACCACGAACGCCCAGCUAGAAUAGUAUAAAAGGAGCUGAAGAGCCCAAGCAAGUCGACGAUCUGUCCCACCGACCAGUCGACCAGUCCAUCUGAUGAUCUGACUACCGACCGAGACAUCUGCACACCUGAUCCCGCUGGGAGGAGCAUCGCCGCUGACCAGAGGAGACCAGAGGAGGCAAGCGGAGAGGCGGAUAGCCUAGCGCCGACUCGACGCCCUUCAUCUACGGAUCGGACCCUCUGACCCUGCGGGAGGAAACGUCGCGCUCCCAUUAAGGACUUGCGCAGUACAGAGACUUGAGAUUUAACCGAAUAAGAGAAAUUCCAGAGAAUGCCUUCAAGAAACUGAAGAAUUUGAACACUCUUCUCCUGAACAACAAUCAAAUCAGGAAGAUUUCCAGGACUGCUUUUGAAGGACUUGAAAAUUUACUCUAUCUGUAAGUUGUAAGGCUGCAUAAGACCAUGUUCUAGUCAAGCACAUCUGCCUCUUGCCCACUCACCAUGGUACCUGAACAAGAAUGAAAUUCAUGCACUAGAUAAGCAAACUUUUAAGGGACUCAUAUCCUUGGAACAGCUGUCUACUCUGUCUGAAGAAUUGGUGUCGUUGGACAAGAAGAUCUUCCAUAGAGAUAAGAGGGUCCUUUGCAGCUAAUUCUAUCCUCAGUCUAGUUUUUACUGGGAUAUUGAAUGAAUCAUGUAGCACUUUCCUAAUUCUUCAAUAAAAGGUUAUUUAAAGCACAUUUCUCUACCAGUGAAUCCCCUAUUGUUGUCAUCUUUUGCAAUAUGGAUAGGGUGACAAUCUUUGAAAUCAAAUGUAGAUUCCUUUUGCUUAAUAGUCUGUCCUCAGUUUACCUCUGUUUGCCCACAUUUUUGCUAGAAGAAACCAGGCUACCCUUUAUUUUUUUAUUUUUUAUUUUUAUUUUUUGGUACCGGAGAUAGAACUCGUGACCUUGUGCUUUCGAGGCUGGCGCCGGAACCACUGAGCUAAAUCCCCGGCCCAGGCUACCCUUUAAACACAUUACUUAUUCUUCUCAUCUACAUCUGUUGCCCAACACCAAAGCACUUCUACAAUUUUAGAUAUUUCUCAUUUCAGCACUUCACUUCUCAACACAAAAAAAACCACAUUUUGGCUUCUGGGAGUUCAGGAGCCAUACAGCCUCUCCUCAUUUUGUCUUGUCUGUUGCUCUUUUAACACAGAGAAUUAUUCGGCAUUACUAGACUGAAGCCGAUCUAAUAAGAAAAAAACACAGAGGUCGUGGAAGUACUAUCUAGAAUC